AUGGGGGGCCGCAGGCAGAGGUUUUUGUAUGAGCCUCUGUCACAGUGUGGUGUGUUCGGCGGAGGGACCCAGCUGACCAUCAUGAGUCAGCCCAAGGCCACUCCCGCUGUCACUCUCUUCGCACCCUCCUCUGAGGAGCUCAAAGACAACAAGGCCACACUGGUGUGUCUGAUGAGUGACUUCUACCCACCCACCGUCUCCGUGGCCUGGCAGGCAGAUGGCAGUCCUGUCACGCAGGGCGUGGAGACCACCAAGCCCUCAAAACAAAGCAACGGCAAGUACGCGGCCAGCAGCUACCUGAGCCUGACAGGUGACCAGUGGAGAAGUCACAAAAGGUACAGCUGCCUGGUCACCCACGAUGGCAAGACCGAGGAGAAGACAGUGGCCCCCGCAGAAUGUGUUUAGGGCCCUGGCCCCCUCCCCCCAGCCCUGGGGGCCUGGAGCUGCAGGAUCCCAGGGGACGGGUCUCCUUUCCCACCUAGGUCAUCCUGGCACUUCCCCCGCACCCUGUAAACUCUCAAUAAAUACCCUC